rnacentral:rRNA from 1 species
GAUGAACGCUGGCGGCGUGCCUAAUACAUGCAAGUCGAGCGAACAGACGAGGAGCUUGCUCCUCUGACGUUAGCGGCGGACGGGUGAGUAACACGUGGAUAACCUACCUAUAAGACUGGGAUAACUUCGGGAAACCGGAGCUAAUACCGGAUAAUAUAUUGAACCGCAUGGUUCAAUAGUGAAAGACGGUUUUGCUGUCACUUAUAGAUGGAUCCGCGCCGCAUUAGCUAGUUGGUAAGGUAACGGCUUACCAAGGCGACGAUGCGUAGCCGACCUGAGAGGGUGAUCGCCCACACUGGAACUGAGACACGGUCCAGACUCCUACGGGAGGCAGCAGUAGGGAAUCUUCCGCAAUGGGCGAAAGCCUGACGGAGCAACGCCGCGUGAGUGAUGAAGGUCUUCGGAUCGUAAAACUCUGUUAUUAGGGAAGAACAAUUGUGUAAGUAACUAUGCACGUCUUGACGGUACCUAAUCAGAAAGCCACGGCUAACUACGUG